AGGAGGGCGAGGAGACGGCCGAGGAGCGGGGCGAGGAAAAUGUCGAGGAGACUGAGGAGCAGGGCAAGGAGAACGUCGAGGAGACGGCUGAGAAGGGCAGGAGAUGGCUGAGGAGAAUGUGGAGGAGCAGGGCAAGGAGAACGUCGAGGAGACGGCUGAGAAGGGCAGGAGAUGGCUGAGGAGAAUGUGGAGGAGAAGGCAGAGUCAGGAGAAGGCUGAGGAGAUGGCUGAGGAGAAUGGAGGAGCAGGGCAAGGAGAAUGUCGAGGAGACGGCUGAGGAAAAUGUGGAGGAGAAGGCUGAGAAGGGCGGGAGAAGGCUGAGGAGAUGGCUGAGGAGAUGGCUGAGGAGAAUGCUGAGGAGAUGGCUGAGGAGAACGUGGAGGAGCAGGGCAAGGAGAAUGUCGAGGAGAUGGCUGAGGAGCAGGGCGAGAUGCAGGCCAAGCCAGUGUCCGGCGGGAGCCAGCUGCGGGAGCGCGCCCGGCUCGUGUCACCGGGAGCAGCCUGCAGCCCUCGCAGGGGCCUGGGCACCGCGGCCAGCCCUGCGGCCACCCUGGCACAGCCAGCGCUCCGGGCACGCGGCCGGGGCUGGGCGCUGGCCAACGGCCCGCAACGAGGGAACGUCUUGGUGACGUCCCAGGAGCUGCAAACAGCACGCCGGGAGAUGCCGGGGAGGAUGGUCCACGCCCCGAGCGGUUACCGGGGCUGUGCCGGUGCCGUGUGCCGCCCCUGCCCCAGCGCAUCGCUCCACGGCCUCUCCCGGGGGUGCCGUGGCACGGCUGGGGCUCUCGGGGAGCGGCCCGUGGCGUGCCACGAGAUGGCACUGCUACGGCACGCUCCACGCAGCCGGGAUGUCCCCGGGGCUGCAGUGACAUCCCUGGGCUGCAGGGACACGCACACAGGAAUUUUCACCCUCCUGGCCAAACCAAGAGUGUUAACUGCGAUGGUCCCAACUUGUGUAAACGAGGCCUGCAAAGGGGAGUCUUUCUGACUAGCUGCUUUCUGCCCA